ACUCUCGUUCAAGUGUUUACAAAUGGCGGUGUUCAUUUUGUAUCAGGCUACCCAGCAUCAAGGACAACAUCUAGAUUGCUAUAUUCCGUUAAAACACUGCUCAAGGGUACCGUAAGAUCCUGAGUCUUUAUGGGACUGUCUUCGAGAAGCAUCGAAACUAAGUAGCUGGAAAAGAAAACAUUAUUGUUACAUACGUUAAGAAAGACAAUAACGUAAGUAUUAAUUUUUUUUUUUUAACUACCAAA